GGAGCCGGAGGGAAACCGAGUCUUAAUUGGGCGUUAAGUUGCAGGGUAUAGACCCGAAACCCGGUGAUCUAGCCAUGGGCAGGUUGAAGGUUGGGUAACACUAACUGGAGGACCGAACCGACUAAUGUUGAAAAAUUAGCGGAUGACCUGUGGCUGGGGGUGAAAGGCCAAUCAAACCGGGAGAUAGCUGGUUCUCCCCGAAAGCUAUUUAGGUAGCGCCUCGUGAAUUCAUCUCCGGGGGUAGAGCACUGUUUCGGCUAGGGGGCCAUCCCGGCUUACCAACCCGAUGCAAACUGCGAAUACCGGAGAAUGUUAUCACGGGAGACACACGGCGGGUGCUAACGUCCGUCGUGAAGAGGGAAACAACCCAGACCGCCAGCUAAGGUCCCAAAGUCAUGGUUAAGUGGGAAACGAUGUGGGAAGGCCCAGACAGCCAGGAUGUUGGCUUAGAAGCAGCCAUCAUUUAAAGAAAGCGUAAUAGCUCACUGGUCGAGUCGGCCUGCGCGGAAGAUGUAACGGGGCUAAACCAUG
rnacentral:rRNA from 2 species